CAGUAGCCGCGGGAAUACGAAGGGGGCUAGCGUUGUUCGGAUUUACUGGGCGUAAAGCGCACGUAGGCGGAUCGAUCAGUCAGGGGUGAAAUCCCAGAGCUCAACUCUGGAACUGCCUUUGAUACUGUCGAUCUGGAGUAUGGAAGAGGUGAGUGGAAUUCCGAGUGUAGAGGUGAAAUUCGUAGAUAUUCGGAGGAACACCAGUGGCGAAGGCGGCUCACUGGUCCAUUACUGACGCUGAGGUGCGAAAGCGUGGGGAGCAAACAGGAUUAGAUACCCCUGUAGUCCUGUCUCUUAUAAA
rnacentral:rRNA from 1 species